rnacentral:rRNA from 1 species
UGGGGAAUAUUGGACAAUGGGCGAAAGCCUGAUCCAGCCAUGCCGCGUGAGUGAUGAAGGCCUUAGGGUUGUAAAGCUCUUUCAGUAGGGAAGAUAAUGACGGUACCUACAGAAGAAGCCCCGGCUAACUUCGUGCCAGCAGCCGCGGUAAUACGAAGGGGGCUAGCGUUGUUCGGAUUUACUGGGCGUAAAGCGCACGUAGGCGGAUUGUUAAGUCAGGGGUGAAAUCCUGGAGCUCAACUCCAGAACUGCCUUUGAUACUGGCAAUCUAGAGUCCGGAAGAGGUGAGUGGAACUCCUAGUGUAGAGGUGGAAUUCGUAGAUAUUAGGAAGAACACCAGUGGCGAAGGCGGCUCACUGGUCCGGUACUGACGCUGAGGUGCGAAAGCGUGGGGAGCAAACA